UGAAGAGGCAAUCGGUUUUUGUUCAUCAGUUGUUUAUACCUGGAUAUCUCAUACCGAUUCACGAUUUGUGAUCUAGCAAUAUUAACCCCGAUGAAAUAUGAAGACGAUGUUGCUGGUCAUGUACGGAAACUAUGAAGCCAAGGGUGAACUACGGUUGAUUAUUGUCGACAAAAGAUAAGAGACUAACAUUACUGUUCCUUUUUUUGGCUGGUUUUAUCUUCCACACAACUGACGCAGUUCAACAUUUUCUAUUGCAGUUUACUUUGUGUUGUUUCCAUCUUCACGGGUUAAUAAGAAACAUCAAUAUAUGAUUCAUGAACAGAUCUGAGGAUCAUUAAAAGAGAUAAGGUAGCUGUGCUACGAUUUAAAUAGUGUAUGUGUCUAGAGAAAAUCUGGGAUAAAAGAUAAGUGAAUAAUCCCAGAUUUUAUAUAUUUGUACUCAAUUUAUAUUUCUCAUUGACAUCUUUGUUAGAAUUGACUUCAGGUAGAUUUCUUUUGCAGGUUUUGUGUUAAUGGUACUUAACAUUAUUAUCAGAAACAUAAAUUAAAAGAUCUGAUAAAACUCAUCUCUCUUAAUUGAGAACAUUAUAGAAAAAAGAUAAGUCCCAAAGUUCCAGUUCACUCUCUUACUAUUCCAUUCAAUUUUUUUGACUAAUAACUUUUGUAAAACUAACUAAUGGUAGAUUCCUUUUGCAGGUUUUCAUUACAUACUGAAAUGCGUAUAACAAACCCUUAGCACGAAUUGGGUAUAAUAUUUGUCUGUUCUUCAAACCAUCUUACGAAACGACAAAACCUCAAAACUCUAGAUCUAAAUUCCUCUCACUCGACGAAAUUGUAAACCCUUGAUGGCUGAAGUAAAGAAAAGAGGCGGAGGAAGAAGAAACCCCUCUAAUCGAACCUCUGGAACCUCACAAACAACGAAUCACAGACCCACCAAUCUUCCUCCCCAGUAUACCUUCACGCCGGCGAACCAUCGAGUUCCAGAGACUGAUUCUCAUGGAACUCCUGUCCCAAACCUCCAGCCUCCAGCGAGACCUACACCUUCUUACCGAGACUAUCCACCUUCGACAAAUCUGUUCCAGCACUCGAGGAGCUUUCCCGGAACAUUUCCUUCAGGUGAAGUUCCAACCAGGCGUCCUUUUCCUCAACCUCUCGCCUCUGCGACGAAUCCACCAGAAUUCUCGAGUCAACUUCGAGAGUCUCCUCAACCGUCAGUCACGAAUCAUCAUCGACAGUCUCCUCAAGUCUCGAAUCUACCACGAGAGUCUCCUCUACCUCGACAGUCUCAUCGACCACCCUCUUCUCAACCUAGUCAACCUCGAGCAGCUUCUGCAUCGCUUCACAGUUCUCAAGCGCAAAACUCACAUGAGGAAGAAGCUGAUUCGGAGGAUGACGGUGCAAGGGAAUCAAAUCUCCCAGCUGAUGUACUCGCUUCUUUACAUGACAUGCUUGUCCAAC